UUUGGGGGAUGCAAACAAACAAAUCAUCUGGCCACGCCAGGCCACCACCAACACAACCUACCUGGAUUCAUAUGAUCAUUAGUGCAGCAAUAAAUAGAUAGAAAAACGCUCUUUCUAUUGGGCGCACAAUAUAAGUAACUGAAUUUAUCCAAGCAAGAAAGAAACAUAUUGGGAGAUUUGCGUUUUGAGGGGAAUGUUGUCUGGCUCGAGGACUCUUUUUGCUUUGAUCAAACAAAUUUUUGGUUCAGAUCUGUUAUGCCAAUACCAGAUCUCUGAUCUACUCAUCAUUUUCUUGUUGAUUUGCUAGAGUCGUCGGACCAGGCUUCAUUCCCCCCAAAAGUUUUGGUUCUUCCCAAUAUUCCUUGCAUAAAGAUGAUCACUUUUCCCUUGUGGAUCCACAGGUAAAAGGCCUUUUUCUCCUUCCUUGGCAUACUUUUGAGUUUUCCUGUCUGCAGUUUUAGCUUAUGAGUAACUAAUUAGCUGCGCUUUGGAGUUGCUUCUUUCUUUCUCAUGUAUGUAUGUCCUGUUGGAAGUUAUGCUAACUUUCCUUUCCCCCCCCCCCCCCCCUUUUUAUUGCUACUAUAGUUAGUUAGUUAAGGGCGCGCAGAUUGGUGUAAUGAUAAGGAUCUUUGACUCCGGGGAGUACGUAUGUAUCUAUCUGUCUGUGAGAGUAGUCGCAAGUGUCCGUCUCUCAAAAAGUUCCUUUCCUCAUAAUUACCAUCUUUUUUCCUUCUCUGUUUUCUACCAGGUUAUGAUGGUGUUUUUUCAUUUGUGUCAGAGAUGUAUGUAACGGAAGAAGGAACUACAUGUGCCUUUUUCCAGUGGUUUUUAUGAUCCGGAUGCUUUUCCCCAUUAGAUCAUCCAGAUCCGGCUUCCAAAUUUUUAGAUACUCUGAUUAAAACCCUUCUCUUUGCUCCUCCAACAUGCUAGCCUUCUCCGUCUUACUAGGGUUUCUUGGAACUUUUAUUAACCAAAAACACAAAAAGACAAAAAAAAAAAAGAAAAAGAAAAAGGUUUCUUGGAACAUUUUGGAGCAAUUUCUCCUCUCGAGUGUCCUUUGUGCACUCACUGCCUGUAGAUAAUCUCUUGCUGCUGCAUCAACUUGGUAGAUUUAAACCGUGGGAUGGAUUUCUUCUACUAGCGUUUCAUAAUUCAUACAAAUGAUUAACGAUGAUGGUGUUUACAUGUGACAUGACGUGUCUAAGUAAUUUAUCAAGUAGGAGUAGGAUGCUGUUAAUAUAAUAGAUAUAGCACCACUGCUUAGAUCUUGUCUGAGGAUUCAAUGCCACGAUCUGUUUGUGUCUGGUUUAACCAUUAUUUCAUUCAAAAGUCUGACAAUUUGAUCAUGUAUACUGACUGUAGUUCUCAUCCAAGACACCCUCCAUAACAUUUUACAUCCUCCCUUCUGCAUUUUUUUUUCCUUUACUUAUUAAACAUGGCUAUAGCUUUUUAAUUACUCAAUCAAUAGUAAGUAGGAAUCUAUCGUCUCUUGUAUUUCAGGUUGGUGUCAAACAUAUUUACUACUACCGUUUUUCCAUAGUAUGUGAACUCUUGUCCUGUGAUACCUGUGUUCGAAGACCACUGGUUGCUUAUUAGCCAUUUAUGUAGCUUGGUUUUUCGGGAAUACUGAAUAAGGUACACUACAUUGCGCAUAGAAACAUGCAAUAAGCAGUAGCUACAGAAAUUCACGACUUUCAAAUUUUGAUUGCUUUAAUAUAAUACUAUAUGUAUAUAAUACGUGUGUAUGUUCCUCCUCCUCUUUUUUUUUUUUUUUUUUUUUCAAUCGCCAACCCUACUUCUAAUCCUACUCUAUUAUAAUCUAACUACGAGAGAGCUCAAACUGAGCUUAUGGAAAAAUCAAUGAAGACAGAACCAUCAUCGGGAUCAGACAGAUGUACUACACACCCAUCUGAAUAUUUUUUGAAGAAUCACAACCGUGACAACUUGGUACCAAAUCCUCAAAAGGUUUGGUGGUGACCAUCAGCCUAAGCCUUAGGCUGAUAGUUGUAUGUUCAUGUUCCUCCUCCUGUUCCUACAUGAUAGGAGUAAUAUAAUAAUUACGAUAAGAUGGCUCGUCCUUGGCCAAUUAAUCAUGCAUUGCACCAACAGUUUAUAAGCUGUUUAGUUUAGACUUUAGAGGAGGAGUGGGUGCAAUUGGGCUACUCAUUAAUUUAAUACUACUAGAGUUGGGAUGAAGGAAAUGACAAAAGCUAUACUGCUGCUAGUCUGCUAUGGUUACAGCUAGUACUACUUUAAGACCCCCUGGAUCUUAGGUCUAAACAUCACGUCUUAAUUCACCUUUCUAAAUGUCCCUCUUUCUUGUGAGUUCUGAAACUUUUCCGCCUUCACCACCCCACCGCACCCCCCCCCCGGGGGGCUGCGUUCCGAGGUCAAAACAUUUUUCGACUACUACGUCCUUCUUGUGCUGCUGUGCAGGCAGCUCUAUUUCUGCAGAGUUGACAAAUAUCUCCGAAAAUGAAAAAACAAAAAAAUUGGCAAUCCAAACAGGGCAUUAUAGUUUCGCAAAUUGCUGUUGAAUGAACAAGUCUGAGCUGCUGAACUGAAAAGCUGAGACUUUCGAAAGAAGAGGUCCUGUAUGGUAUGGUAUGGUAUAGAGACUCUACAGACUCACUCAAUAAUCAAUAUGAUGGUUUGAUUUAUACAUACAUAGAGACGUUAUAUGUACGAGUAUUGCGGUCACAAACUAUGGUUUUUUUUUAGGUAUAACUCACAAGCGUUCGCAUUCGUUUUGCGACUAAUCCUGUUUGAAUAGGGUCUGACUCCUUACAACGGAAAACUCUUCCAACGUUAUUUUUUCCAUUUCCAUGAGUUUCGAAUCUAAAAUCUCUUGGUUAAGGAAUGCAAACCCCUUCCACUUGCACCAACAUCCCUUGGUUGUCACAAACUAUGGUUGAUAAACCAUCCGAGGCAUCAACCAAGGUUGGAUCAUAUCGUGUACCUCCACAGAUUGCUAGCCAUAGGCAGUGGAGUAUAUUUUUACCAACAAAUUUUACCAGCUUUGCCUGUAGGAAGGAUUGUGAUGAUCUCUUGUUAAUUCACUACUACUUCCGUUUUAGUCGGGAUGCCUCUCAUGCUAACUAAUUAUACUUUUUUUUCAUUACGAAUACUCACAAUACCGUUUUAAUGGCACUUCCUCCUCCUCUUUUUUUUUUUUUUUUUAAUUACACUCCCCUUAGAUUUAUUAUUAUUAUUGUUAUUAUUUGUUGGUGUGAAAAGAUAAAACUGCCCUACUUUAACUUGGAUUUACAAUUUCGUAAAAAAGAGGUAGUUGUAUAUUGAAAUAAAAAUUGAGGUAUUCUUGUCCAAUUCACCGGAUCGACAAUUCAAAGGUAAUUUUUGACACCAAAAAAAAAAAAAGAA